rnacentral:rRNA from 1 species
UGCUGGAGGUAUCAGAAGUGCGAAUGCUGACAUGAGUAACGUUAAUGCGGGUGAAAAACCCGCACGCCGAAAACCCAAGGUUUCCUGCUCAACGUUAAUCGGAGCAGGGUGAGCCGGUUCCUAAGACGAGGCCGAAAGGCGUAGCCGAUGGAAAACAGGUCAACAUUCCUGUGCCCGGUGUGAUUGCGAUGGGGUGACGGAGAAGGCUAGUUCAGCAGGGGUUGGUUCCCUGUUUAAGCAUGUAGGAGGAGUUGCCAGGCAAAUCCGGCAGCUCUUAACUCCGAGGUGUGAUGACGAGGCUCCACGCGAGCCGAAGUGAAUAACGCCCCGCUUCCAGGAAAAGCCUCUAAGCUUCAGAUCACAUUGGACCGUACCGUAAACCGACACUGGUGGGUGAGCAGAUAAUCUGCCAAGGCGCUUGAGAGAACUCGGGUUAAGGAACUCUGCAAAUUGAUACCGUAACUUCGGAAGAAGGUAUGCCUUCGACGGUGUAGGGAUUUACUCCCGAAGCUGUUGAAGGUCGCAGGUAAUCGGUGGCUGCGACUGUUUAUCAAAAACACAGGACUCUGCGAACACGCAAGUGGAAGUAUAGGGUCUGACGCCUGCCCGGUGCCGGAAGGUUAAUUGAUGGGGUUAGCCGCAAGGCGAAGCUCUUGAUCGAAGCCCCGGUAAACGGCGGCCGUAACUAUAACGGUCCUAAGGUAGCAAAUUCCUUGUCGGGUAAGUUCCGACCUGCACGAAUGGCGUAACGCUGGCCACACUGUCUCGACCCGAGACUCAGUGAAGUUGAAAUCGCUGUGAAGAUGCGGCGUUCCCGCGGCAAGACGGAAAGACCCCGUGAACCUUCACUACAGCUUUACACUGAACUUUGAACCUUUCUGUGUAGCAUAGGUGGGAGGCUAUGAAACUUGGGCGCUAGCUCGAGUGGAGCCAACCUUGAAAUACCACCCUGGGAUGUUUGAAGUUCUAACCUUGGUCCGUAAUCCGGAUUGGGGACAGUGUAUGGUGGGUAGUUUGACUGGGGCGGUCUCCUCCCAAAGAGUAACGGAGGAGUGCAAUGGUACGCUCAGCGCGGUCGGUCAUCGCGCUCUAGAGUGCAAAGGCAUAAGCGUGCUUAACUGUGAGACAGACACGUCGAACAGGUACGAAAGUAGGUCUUAGUGAUCCGGUGGUUCUGUAUGGAAGGGCCAUCGCUCAACGGAUAAAAGGUACUCCGGGAUAACAGGCUUAUUCCUCCCAAGAGUCCACAUCGACGGAGGAGUUUGGCACCUCGAUGUCGGCUCAUCACAUCCUGGGGCUGUAGCAGGUCCCAAGGGUAUGGCUGUUCGCCAUUUAAAGUGGUACGCGAGCUGGGUUCAGAACGUCGUGAGACAGUUCGGUCCCUAUCUGCCGUGAGCGUUGGAAACUUGAGGGUGAGCUGUCCUUAGUACGAGAGGACCGGGAUGGACGUAUCUCUGGUGUUCCGGUUGUCACGCCAGUGGCACUGCCGGGUAGCUAUAUACGGACGGGAUAAGCGCUGAAAGCAUCUAAGCGCGAAGCCCCCCCCAAGAUUAGGUUUCCCUGGGAACUCGAUUCCCCUAAAGGGCCGUCGGAGACUACGACGUUGAUAGGCUGGGUGUGUAAGUGCAGCAAUGCAUUGAGCUAACCAGUACUAAUUGCCCGUGAGGCUUGACC